AGGUUGCGGCGGCGCCCGAGCGGGUCCCCAGGCUGGCGAGCGCCCAGGCCAGACUGGCCGCUUUGUGCUUGUGCAGCGGCUUCGGGAGAAGGAGCGGCAGCUGCUGCCACAAGAGUGUCCAGUGGGCGCCCAGGCCACCUGCGGACAGUUCGCCAGCGAUGUCCAGUUUGUCCUGAGGCGCACAGGGCCCAGCCUAGCUGGGAGGCCCUCCUCAGACAGCUGUCCACCCCCAGAACGCUGCCUAAUUCGUGCCAGCCUCCCUGUAAAGCCACGGGCUGCGCUGGGCUGUGAGCCCCGCAAAACACUGACCCCCGGGCCAGCCCCCAGCCUCUCACGCCCUGGGCCUGCGGCCUCUGUGACACCCACACCAGGCUGCUGCACAGACCUGCGGGGCCUGGAGCUCAGGGUGCAGAGGAAUGCUGAGG
rnacentral:sRNA from 1 species